rnacentral:rRNA from 1 species
UACGUAGGGGGCGAGCGUUAAUCGGAAUUACUGGGCGUAAAGCGCGCGCAGGCGGUCUGUUAAGACCGAUGUGAAAUCCCCGGGCUUAACCUGGGAACUGCAUUGGUGACUGGCAGGCUUUGAGUGUGGCAGAGGGAGGUAGAAUUCCACGUGUAGCAGUGAAAUGCGUAGAGAUGUGGAGGAAUACCGAUGGCGAAGGCAGCCUCCUGGGCCAACACUGACGCUCAUGCACGAAAGCGUGGGGAGCAAACAGG